rnacentral:hammerhead_ribozyme from 1 species
CUCUUGAGGAGUCCCAUAAUAGGACGAAACGGCCGUAAAACAG